rnacentral:misc_RNA from 1 species
GAUGAAGAACGUAGCGAAAUGCGAUACUUGGUGUGAAUUGCAGAAUCCCGUGAACCAUCGAGUCUUUGAACGCAAGUUGCGCCCGAAGCCAUUAGGCCGAGGGGACGCCUGCCUGGGCGUCACACGUCGUUGCCCCCCCAUCUACUCCUUCGGGAUUGCGGGGGGCGGAUGAUGGCCUCCCGUGCGCCUCGCCGCGCGGUUGGCAUAAAUGCCAAGUCCUCGGCGACGCACGCCACGACAAUCGGUGGUUGCGAAACCUCGGUUGCCCGUCGUGUGCGGUCGUCGCGCAUCGAGGGCUCGAAAAAAUUGCCGGGUUCCGGCUCGGCUUUCAACGCGACCCCAGGUCAGGCGGGGUUACCCGCUGAAUUUAAGCAUAUCAAUAAGCGGAGGA